rnacentral:piRNA from 1 species
UCUUGCUUAAAGUUGAUCAUGACAGA